UAAUAGCAAUUCUCUGUAACCACCAACCAAGUUGCGGCACGCAUAGUCUCAGAUUUUCUUGAAACUUGGUCUGUUGGUAGCUAUCGAUAAUCUAACAAGAAAAAUGUUUACAAAAAAUUUGUUUAUGCCCCCGUUGCCAUGGUUACGGGUCCCCUUGGAUUUUGCCUCAAAAAUGCAUAUUUUGAGGAUAAAAAAUGACCCAUUUUAAGCAGUUAUUAUGCAUACAUUUCAAGUUUUAUGAAUAUUUUGACUAUAAUUCAUUAAAAUAUAACACUUUAUAAGUAAGAUGAAAGAUAAAAAUUAUUUCUGACAAAAGGGGAGGGAGGGGGCAGCACUGGUUCAAAUAGUGGAAUUUUCAAUGUAUUCAAAAAGGCCAAUUAUAGGCAUUUUGCAUGACAUAAUUUUACAUCCACAACCAAUUAUACUAAAGUGAUAAAUGUAAAUUAUGACUGUUGCCUAGGAUUAAUUUAUCAUUAAAGGUUUGGGAAAUAGGUUGCUAGGGUGGUUGCUAUGGGAACAUAAAAGUGUCAUUUUUGGUAUUUUGAAGAAAAAAUUUGACAUUGUUAUUUGAAUAGUUUAAAAACAGUGACAAAUACAAAAUAAAAAUCACUUGGGACAUGUUGUGCAUUCAAUGACCUAAAAGUUUACCUCAAGGUCAAAGUUGAUUUAUGACUUUGACUUUGACC
rnacentral:lncRNA from 1 species